GGGUUGUGAGGUUAAGUGACUAAGCGUACACGGUGGAUGCCUAGGCAGUCAGAGGCGAUGAAGGGCGUGCUAAUCUGCGAAAAGCGUCGGUAAGGUGAUAUGAACCGUUACAACCGGCGAUACCCGAAUGGGGAAACCCAGUGUGUUUCGACACACUAUCAUGUCAUGAAUACAUAGUGGCAUGAGGCGAACCGGGGGAACUGAAACAUCUAAGUACCCCGAGGAAAAGAAAUCAACCGAGAUUCCCCCAGUAGCGGCGAGCGAACGGGGAGGAGCCCAGAACCUGAAUCGGCUUGUGUGUUAGUGGAAGCGUCUGGAAAGUCGCGCAGUAAAGGGUGAUAGCCCCGUACACUAAAAUGCACAGGUCGUGAGUUCGAUGAGUAGGGCGGGACACGUGACAUCCUGUCUGAAUAUGGGGGGACCAUCCUCCAAGGCUAAAUACUCCUGACUGACCGAUAGUGAACCAGUACCGUGAGGGAAAGGCGAAAAGAACCCCGGCGAGGGGAGUGAAAUAGAACCUGAAACCGUGUACGUACAAGCAGUGGGAGCACCUUCGUGGUGUGACUGCGUACCUUUUGUAUAAUGGGUCAGCGACUUAUAUUUUGUAGCAAGGUUAACCGUAUAGGGGAGCCGUAGGGAAACCGAGUCUUAACUGGGCGAAUAGUUGCAAGGUAUAGACCCGAAACCCGGUGAUCUAGCCAUGGGCAGGUUGAAGGUUGGGUAACACUAACUGGAGGACCGAACCGACUAAUGUUGAAAAAUUAGCGGAUGACUUGUGGCUGGGGGUGAAAGGCCAAUCAAACCGGGAGAUAGCUGGUUCUCCCCGAAAGCUAUUUAGGUAGCGCCUCGUGAACUCAUCUUCGGGGGUAGAGCACUGUUUCGGCUAGGGGGCCAUCCCGGCUUACCAAACCGAUGCAAACUCCGAAUACCGAAGAAUGUUAUCACGGGAGACACACGGCGGGUGCUAACGUCCGUCGUGAAGAGGGAAACAACCCAGACCGCCAGCUAAGGUCCCAAAGUCAUGGUUAAGUGGGAAACGAUGUGGGAAGGCAUAGACAGCCAGGAUGUUGGCUUAGAAGCAGCCAUCAUUUAAAGAAAGCGUAAUAGCUCACUGGUCGAGUCGGCCUGCGCGGAAGAUGUAACGGGGCUAAACCAUGCACCGAAGCUGCGGCAGCGACGCUUAGGCGUUGUUGGGUAGGGGAGCGUUCUGUAAGCCGUUGAAGGUGGCCUGUGAGGGUUGCUGGAGGUAUCAGAAGUGCGAAUGCUGACAUAAGUAACGAUAAAGCGGGUGAAAAGCCCGCUCGCCGGAAGACCAAGGGUUCCUGUCCAACGUUAAUCGGGGCAGGGUGAGUCGACCCCUAAGGCGAGGCUGAAAAGCGUAGUCGAUGGGAAACAGGUUAAUAUUCCUGUACUUGGUGUUACUGCGAAGGGGGGACGGAGAAGGCUAGGCUAGCCGGGCGACGGUUGUCCCGGUUUAAGCGUGUAGGGGGUGUGACCUGGUAAAUCCGGUUACAUACCAACCCUGAGGCGUGAUGACGAUGCACUACGGUGCAGAAGUAGUUGAUGCCCUGCUUCCAGGAAAAGCCUCUAAGCUCUAGGUAACAUUAAAUCGUACCCCAAACCGACACAGGUGGUCAGGUAGAGAAUACCAAGGCGCUUGAGAGAACUCGGGUGAAGGAACUAGGCAAAAUGGUGCCGUAACUUCGGGAGAAGGCACGCUGGCAUGUAGGUGAAGUCCCUUGCGGAUGGAGCUGAAGCCAGUCGAAGAUACCAGCUGGCUGCAACUGUUUAAUAAAAACACAGCACUGUGCAAACACGAAAGUGGACGUAUACGGUGUGACGCCUGCCCGGUGCUGGAAGGUUAAUUGAUGGGGUCAGCCGCAAGGCGAAGCUCUUGAUCGAAGCCCCAGUAAACGGCGGCCGUAACUAUAACGGUCCUAAGGUAGCGAAAUUCCUUGUCGGGUAAGUUCCGACCUGCACGAAUGGCGUAAUGAUGGCCAGGCUGUCUCCACCCGAGACUCAGUGAAAUUGAACUCGCUGUGAAGAUGCAGUGUACCCGCGGCAAGACGGAAAGACCCCGUGAACCUUUACUAUAGCUUGACACUGAACAUUGAGCCUUGAUGUGUAGGAUAGGUGGGAGGCUUUGAAGCGUGGACGCCAGUCUGCGUGGAGCCAUCCUUGAAAUACCACCCUUUAAUGUUUGAUGUUCUAACUCGGCCCCAUAAUCUGGGGUGAGGACAGUGUCUGGUGGGUAGUUUGACUGGGGCGGUCUCCUCCCAAAGAGUAACGGAGGAGCACGAAGGUUAGCUAAUCACGGUCGGACAUCGUGAGGUUAGUGCAAAGGCAUAAGCUAGCUUGACUGCGAGAGUGACGGCUCGAGCAGGUACGAAAGUAGGUCUUAGUGAUCCGGUGGUUCUGAAUGGAAGGGCCAUCGCUCAACGGAUAAAAGGUACUCCGGGGAUAACAGGCUGAUACCGCCCAAGAGUUCAUAUCGACGGCGGUGUUUGGCACCUCGAUGUCGGCUCAUCACAUCCUGGGGCUGAAGUAGGUCCCAAGGGUAUGGCUGUUCGCCAUUUAAAGUGGUACGCGAGCUGGGUUUAGAACGUCGUGAGACAGUUCGGUCCCUAUCUGCCGUGGGCGUUGGAAGAUUGAGAGGGGUUGCUCCUAGUACGAGAGGACCGGAGUGAACGCACCACUGGUGUUCGGGUUGUCAUGCCAAUGGCAUUGCCCGGUAGCUAAGUGCGGAAAAGAUAAGCGCUGAAAGCAUCUAAGCGCGAAACUUGCCUCAAGAUGAGUCUUCCCUGGGCCUUUAAGGCCCCUGAAGGAACGUUUAAGACUAAGACGUUGAUAGGCUGGGUGUGUAAGUGCAGCGAUGCAUUGAGCUAACCAGUACUAAUGAUCCGUGAGGCUUAACCUUACAACACCGAAGGUGUUU
rnacentral:rRNA from 2 species